UAGGGAAUCUUCCGCAAUGGACGCAAGUCUGACGGAGCAACGCCGCGUGAGUGAAGAAGGAUUUCGGUUCGUAAAACUCUGUUGUUAGAGAAGAACAGCGCAUAGAGUAACUGUUAUGCGUGUGACGGUAUCUAACCAGAAAGCCACGGCUAACUACGUGCCAGCAGCCGCGGUAAUACGUAGGUGGCAAGCGUUGUCCGGAUUUAUUGGGCGUAAAGCGAGCGCAGGCGGUCAAUUAAGUCUGAUGUGAAAGCCCCCGGCUCAACCGGGGAGGGUCAUUGGAAACUGGUUGACUUGAGUGCAGAAGAGGAGAGUGGAAUUCCAUGUGUGGCGGUGAAAUGCGUAGAUAUAUGGAGGAACACCAGUGACGAAGGCGACUCUCUGGUCUGUAACUGACGCUGAGGCUCGAAAGCGUGGGUAGCAAACAGG
rnacentral:rRNA from 1 species